rnacentral:lncRNA from 1 species
UGUGCAUCAGAUCCAAGUUGAGUUCCAUAAGUCACCUGUGCAUCAGAACCGAGCUGAGUUCCAAUCAUAUCAUUCUUCCCAGAUCCGUCAGCACCCCGGGCAGAUCCCUUGGUGUCACCCUGAAAAUUUAUGACCGUUAAUACCACAUAUGGAUAACUAAACAAAGUUAAAAAGUGCAAUAGAUAAUUUGAAGUAAAAUGCUGAUACAUACCUCCAACUGUAACAUCAUAGCCAUUCCAUGAAAUUGAUCAAACACAAAAAUCAAGAGUCAGAUUGAUGCUGAUCACUCAGUUAUAACUUAAAAAUUAAAAUAAAUACGAAUUUCUGAUUAGAGACCAAAGAGAGGUCAAAUGAACUCAUGAAACACAGAAAAACAAGUUGAUUACUUUUCCUUUCUUCCUUUACUUUAGCAGGCCAAACAGCGAGUAAGUUCAGUUAAAAUAAAGGCUCAAAUUUCAGGAGGAAAAAAGGACAAAAAAUUGUCCCCUACCUCUCUGUACCUGGCCAAAUAGGCCCUGAGUGGAGCAAUAUAAUCUUCAAAACCCAAAGUUGCCAUUGCCCAGAGCAAAUCAUCCCCAUUAACGGUUUUCCUUUUCUCUUUUUGACACUUAUCACUUGCU